GUAGGAGAGUAUGAAAGUACAGCAGAACUAAAUCCUGAUUCUUUAACACACAUUCUGGUGAGGAAACAGUCACUGCUUUCUAAUGAAAUGAGGAUCCUGAAAUGUGUCGUUAAAGAAACAGG